UCCGAGAGAGAGGAGAUGUGAAUAGAAGAGAAGGCGGAGAGCCACCGCCGCUGCUGCUGAGUCACCGAAGCUGCUGGACUGAGCUUCUGCCGCCUGAAACCCGCUGCCGUCGCCGGAAAAAGCACUGCCGUUGUCGUCGUCGGAAUUCGUUGCCACCACCACCAUUAGAGGCGAACCCAGUUAUUUUCUCGCUGCCGGAGUUUCAGUGUCGCUUUGAAUUUUCAGAGUUGUUUAUGUGUUUGAUUCCAUCAAAUUCGAAUCUAUUGUUGUUGCUGUGAGCCAAAUCGGAGUUGGUGAUGCUGCCAUCGUCCCUGUUGUGUUGGAAUUGCCACUGCUGCUGUGAGUUUAAACUAAGCGGGACUAUUGUGUUAAAUUAUGCGAUUGCGACAUCGAGGAACCAAAUGAAGAGGCAUUAAGAAGAGUUAUACUGCGUUUAGUUUAU